UACGGAGGAUGCGAGCGUUAUCCGGAUUCAUUGGGUUUAAAGGGUGCGCAGGCGGGCGUAUAAGUCAGGGGUGAAAUGCCACGGCUCAACCGUGGAACUGCCUUUGAUACUGUAUGUCUUGAGUUUAGUUGAAGUGGGCGGAAUGUAGCAUGUAGCGGUGAAAUGCAUAGAGAUGCUACAGAACACCGAUAGCGAAGGCAGCUCACUAAGUUAAGACUGACGCUCAUGCACGAAAGCGUGGGGAUCAAACAGGAUUAGAAACCCAGUAGUCC
rnacentral:rRNA from 1 species